rnacentral:rRNA from 1 species
UGAUGGGAGAGGCAUAUGGAAUUGGUGGUGUAGGGGUAAAAUCCGUAGAGAUCACCAGGAAUACCCAUUGCGAAGGCGAUCUGCUGGAACUCAACUGACGCUAAUGCGUGAAAGCGUGGGGAGCAAACAGGAUUAGAUACCCUGGUAGUCCACGCCCUAAACGAUGUAUACUAGUUGUUGCUAAGCUAGUCUUGGCAGUAAUGCACCUAACGGAUUAAGUAUACCGCCUGGGGAGUACGGUCGCAAGAUUAAAACUCAAAGGAAUAGACGGGGACCCGCACAAGCGGUGGAGCAUGUGGUUUAAUUCGAAGAUACGCGAAGAACCUUACCCGGACUUGAUAUCUAACAAAUCAUCUAGAGAUAGAAGAGUGUCUGCUUGCAGAAAUGUUAAGACAGGUGCUGCACGGCUGUCGUCAGCUCGUGUCGUGAGAUGUUGGGUUAAGUCCCGCAACGAGCGCAACCCACGUCAUUAGUUGCUAACAGUUCGGCUGAGCACUCUAAUGAGACUGCCUUCGUAAGGAGGAGGAAGGUGUGGACGACGUCAAGUCAUCAUGGCCCUUAUGUCCGGGGCGACA